AUUACACCAUGCAUGUUAUAUAGCUGCUUGUAUUCCAGUCCAGAAUUCUCCAGAUAAUGCAGUUCUGGACAUUUUUGUUUUAAGGUUUUUAUGCCUUAUGAAGCAGCGGUGUUAAAACUGGGCAUCUAUCGUAUAAGCCGCCAGUAAGUGCUCCAUCGGAUUCAACCAGAUGUUCUUGUUCUAACACAUUGCUGUUUGUUGUAAAUGAUUUUUUGGGGUUUUCUUACCACAAACGAUGACAAUGAAUGUCUUCUGGAUAGAUUUAAUAGUGUCCUCAAGUGGCACCAGCUGACUGGUGUGUCUGCACUUUAAUUUCUAGUGCACAUUUCAUUAAUGCCAUGAUGUCUAAUCAUAGGAACCAAAUAAAGUAUUAAAACCUGCAGGUGAAUACUUUGUUUUGGCCUCCGUUAUUUUGCUGUUAAAGGCGCGGUAAGACGGUGGUGUAAUGUAGUUUGCAUUAUAAUGUUAAUGUAUGCUCUGGUACAGAUCAUUUGUUGUCACAGCACUGCAGUGAAAUAAACCUGAGUUGUUGGCAA